UACAGAGGGGGCAAGCGUUAUUCGGAAUUAUUGGGCGUAAAGGGCGCGUAGGCGGCUUUUCAAGUGACGGGUGAAAUCCCUCGGCUUAACCGAGGAACUGCCUGUCAGACUGGAAGGCUUGAGACCGGGAGAGGUGAGUGGAAUUCCAGGUGUAGCGGUGAAAUGCGCAGAUAUCAGGAAGAACACCUAUGGCGAAGGCAGCUCUCUGGGACGGUACUGACGCUGAGACGCGAAAGCGUGGGGAGCGAACAGG
rnacentral:rRNA from 1 species